ACGACCUCCGCCUCUCGCCCAGCCGCCCUCAUCGCUUUCCGGUCGCCGUCGCUCCGAAACCCCAUGAACCUUUCCCCCCCUCCCUUCGCGCCGCCGCCACCCCUAUCCGCGCCAUCACCGGGAGUGAGAAAGGCGACAGCUGCAGCAGGAGCAGACCGCGCGAGAGAGCGAGAGGGAGGAAGGUAUGGGAAGCGGCAGGAAGCGAGGGCGCACUGUCAGGAGCCGGCCAGAUGAAAGGUCCUGAACGCAGCGCCGCCACUUCAAGCAGGGGCGCGAGAACAUCUUGAAGCACAAACCCCAGCGCCCUCCUGUGGCGAAGGAGCCGAAGGAAGCGGUGAUGGGUGCAGGGGAACCCCUCGUGGUAGCCCUUCACCACCGAGAACCCGGCUUGGAGGACUACUUACAAGGUGCGGCCGCUUGCUUCAGAUCAUGCGUUGCUUACGCAUUUUAACAUUUUUGGCGUGUUUUGGUUUGAUUAUAGCCUUAUUGGCUUAUACCAGUAGCUUUUAUAGUGUAGAAUGGAGGUGUGCUAGCUCACGUCCUCUCAAUGUGUUAGUUUUAUAUUCUGUUUUAGAAUGUGAUAAUUUGUUGACUGCGGUUAUUAUUAUUGAAGUCACAACUCUAUUUCGAUUCUUAUACUGAGUAGUGAGCAUUGAUCUCUAGAUUUACCUUAUGGUAAUAGAAGCCUAAAGCUGGGACGCACUGAAUCGAUUUACGGGUGGGGGCAUUCGGCGGUUGACAGAGUAAACAGGGCAGCGGCACAGCAGGGUAGCUUAGACAGCUUGGACAAGGCAGAGUUUGGUGUGGUGAAGUGGUUUAGAUGACUACGGGAACGGGCUGGCAGAAGCAGAACCUGGGGAAAAUCCCUGGAAAAGCUGGAAUUGGAAGGUAGCUACUGAAAGUCUGAAAUUUAUACCUACUUCUCGGUCCUGUUCGUAGAAUUCAGAUUUCAGAAGCUGGGAGAGUGGGAGGUUGAUACCGAUGGGCCAGUGUGCCACUGUGCGCGAUGUGCACUAGCUGUAUGAUAUGCGUGCGUCCUUGUUGUGCUGGACCGAUAAACACACAAAGUGUAGUGCAAUGUCACCAAUUGUGAGCAAGCCAGGCAUGCUUGUAUGUAAGGAAUGCUGAAAAAAGCACUCAUGGACUAGCUGUACAUGCAGUAUGCAUGUUUCUAUGACCACUAAGAUGUGAUUUGAAAUAUAGUGAUAACCAAUAAUCAA
rnacentral:lncRNA from 1 species